rnacentral:rRNA from 1 species
GUGCCAGCCGCCGCGGUAAGACGGAGGGUGCAAACGUUGUUCGGAAUCACUGGGCAUAAAGCGCACGUAGGCGGUGCACUAAGUCAGGUGUGAAAGCCCCCGGCUCAACCGGGGAAUGGCAUCUGAUACUGGUGUGCUCGAGGACGGUUGGGGUGAGUGGAACUCCUGGUGGAGCGGUGAAAUGCGUAGAUAUCAGGAGGAACACCGGUGGCGAAAGCGGCUCACUGGGCCGUCUCUGACGCUGAGGUGCGAAAGCUAGGGUAGCGAACGGGAUUAGAUACCCCUGUAGUCC